rnacentral:rRNA from 1 species
UAGUAAGCCUGCGAAAAGCUACGGGGAGCUGGCAAUAAAGCUUUGAUCCGUAGAUGUCUGAAUCGGGGAACCGGCCCGCAAGGGUCACUCCUGAUUGAAUAUAUAGAUCAGGUAGAGCGAACCCGGUGAACUGAAACAUCUAAGUAGCCGGAGGAAAAGAAAUCAACCGAGAUUCCGAGAGUAGUGGCGAGCGAAAUCGGAGGAGCCUGCAACCUUUAGUUUCUGAAUUAGUAGAACAGUCUGGAAAGUCUGGCCAUAGUGGGUGAUAGCCCCGUACGCAAAAAUUCAGAAGCGGAAAUAGGGUUGGAACAAGUAGGGCGGGACACGAGAAAUCCUGUCUGAAUAUGGGGGGACCAUCCUCCAAGGCUAAAUACUCGUAAUCGACCGAUAGUGAACCAGUACCGUGAGGGAAAGGCGAAAAGAACCCCGGGAGGGGAGUGAAAUAGAUCCUGAAACCGCAUGCAUACAAACAGUGGGAGCGGACUUGUUCCGUGACUGCGUACCUUUUUGUAUAAUGGGUCAGCGACUUACAUUCAGUAGCGAGCU